AGGUGGCGGGUGGGGGGGGGGGGGGCGGGGGCGGUAUAAAGCGCGCUGGUCCCUUGGCUGGCAGUGUUCAGCCCGAGCCGCUCGGAGGUUGAGCAUGGAGCGGCAGCCGUUGGUCCGCUGGUCCGGAGCCCGCAGAAGUCCCGGGCGCCAGCUCAGUCGUGUAUUUCUUCAGUUGCUUUUACCAGCCCCCUGCCAGAAAAAACAGAUGCGCCUCCAGGUGGAUAGGAAUAGUACUUAUGGUCUUUGGGGCAGACUCCCAACCUGGACCCUCCUUGGCACCGUGUGUGCAGCUGGCAUUGGAGGGACCUUUCAGUACGGAUACAAUGUUUCUCUUAUCAGUGCCCCCACUCAGCACAUCCACAAGUUCCUCAAUGAUACCUGGCAGAGCCGUUACCAGACCAAGCUGAGUUCCAGCACACUGACUCUUCUCUGGUCCACCAUUGCUUCUAUUUUUUCCCUAGGCGGGUUCUUUGGGGCUCACCUUGGGGGCAUCAUGGCUGGCUGGCUGGGCAGGAAAGGAACUCUGCUGGUGAAUAACCUCCUUGCCCUCUUUGCUGCUGCCCUGAUGGGGGCCAGCUUCCCAACGGGGCUCUUCGAACUGCUGAUCGUUGGGAGGUUUCUGAUCGGAAUGAAUACAGGCAUUGGACUCUGUGUGCAGCCUCUCUAUAUAGGUGAAGCUGCCCCCAGACACCUUCGAGGGGCCAUGGUGAUGGGCAGUUCCAUCUUCCUGACAGGAGGGAUUUUGACCGGGCAAGUGAUGGGUCUAAGGGAGCUGCUGGGGGGAGAGGAACACUGGCCCUUCCUCCUCUCGAGCUGUGGCCUGCCUGCCAUAAUCCAACUCCUGAGCCUUCCCUGCUUUCCAGAGAGUCCCCGUUUCACAUUACUAGACCGAGGGGACGAGGCCAAGGGCAUCAAAGCACUGAAGCGCUUCCACGGUCCUCUGCACUACCAGAAGGAGCUGGAGGACAUCCAGAGAGAGAACUUUGCCCUCGGAGGGGAGAAGGCAAAAAAGCCCUGGGAGCUCUUUGCUGACCGUAGCAUCCGCUGGCAGCUGAUUGCAGUCAUCUGUCUGACCAUGGGCCAGCAGCUCAGUGGGAUCAACGCAAUUUACUUUUAUUCCAGUUACGUCUUUGCAGAGACAGGGAUUCCCCCCGAGAAGAUCCCCUAUGUAACUUUAGGUACAGGGAUGUGUGAAUGCCUCACUGCCCUCAUCUGUGGCUCGCUAGUUGAAUCAUUGGGGAGGAGAGCUUUGAUCUUGGGAGGCUACUGCCUUAUGAUGCUUUGGUGCAUCAUCCUGACCAUCUCCCUGACCUUCCAGGUUUAUGCAUGGGCACCAUACCUGAGCAUGGCUUGCAUAUUUGCCUUCAUCUUGAGCUUUGGCCUUGGACCAGGUGGCGUGACAAACAUUUUGACGACCGAGUUGUUCAUGCAGUCCUCACGCCCUGCUGCUUACACCAUUGCAGGAUCAGUGAGCUGGCUGAGCUUCUUCGCUGUUGGCAUGCUCUUCCCCUUUAUUGUGGUACGUUGGUAGUUUCAUGAAACUCUGGUUCCAGCCUUGUGCUUUGAAUUAUUUUGAUCACUUGUGGUUGACUUAGCUUCCAAGGGACACAAGGGAUUGACCGAUUGGACUUGUCAUUUCCUCUGAAGUCAGGCAUGAAGUGAAUUGAAGCUUGACACCUGAGAAAAAGAAUCUGCUUUGGCCCUCAUCUCUUUCAAGGAAAGUCUCAGACCUGCCACAACUUAAACCUCUAAAUAAAAAUGACCCUUGCUCCAUUUGUUGGGAAAGGGAUAUAUGUUAUUAAAGAUCAAGUUUAUUGCAGUAGUGCAAAGCCAGAACUGAAAAUUUCGUGCCAAAAUCCCUACUUUUCUCUCCUUUAACUGUCUCUCAUUGCCCACCCCAGUGCAAACAAUCUGGUUCAGACAAGAUGUUUUCGUAACAGUCAGUCCAAGCAUAGUUUGGGAAGUGGACCUCUCCUCCUUCCAGCUGGGUGACCUUGAGGCAAUGCUUUCAUUUCCCCAAGCAUUCU